rnacentral:rRNA from 1 species
UGGGGAAUCUUGCACAAUGGGCGAAAGCCUGAUGCAGCGACGCCGCGUGAGCGAUGAAGCCCUUCGGGGUGUAAAGCUCUUUCGGCAGGAACGAUAAUGACGGUACCUGAAGAAGAAGCUGCGGCUAACUACGUGCCAGCAGCCGCGGUAAUACGUAGGCAGCAAGCGUUGUUCGGAGUUACUGGGCGUAAAGAGUGUGUAGGCGGUGCUCUAAGUUUGGUGUGAAAUCUCCCGGCUCAACUGGGAGGGUGCGCCGAAAACUGGAGUGCUUGAGUGUGGGAGAGGAAAGCGGAAUUCCCGGUGUAGCGGUGAAAUGCGUAGAUAUCAGGAGGAACACCUGCGGUGUAGACGGCUUUCUGGACCAUUACUGACGCUGAGACACGAAAGCGUGGGUAGCAAACAGGAUUAGAUACCCCCGUAGUCC